UGACGACCAUAGCGCCUUGGCACCACGCCUUCCCAUCCCGAACAGGACCGUGAAACAAGGCAGCGCCGAUGAUACUGAGGAACACUCCUCGGGAAAGUAGGUCAUCGUCA
rnacentral:rRNA from 1 species